rnacentral:lncRNA from 1 species
CCACAAGCAAGGCUGAGUAUACUAAUACUCAGCUAGACUUACCCGGUGUGAGGAGUCUACUCCUCUACCUCUAGACAUGCAGCUGUUUGGCUGAGGGGUUUGGUUUGCCAAAAGCACUAGCUGAGUCUAAAAUCAAGUUUUAGCUUUUCAAGUUUUAGUAUGAUCCUUUUAAACUAGAUGAGUACCUAGCUAUUCAUACAUGGUAUCAAACAUUUUAUCAAUCAACAUCUUUUGCCAGUCACCUCAUUUCCACUUAUUACUCAAUGUAGCAGCAUGGAUCAAGCAGUCUCAUUAGCUGCGAGAAGCAGACGAUUCGAAUCGAGUUUUUAUCCUUGCAAGGUAAACCUAAACACACGACGUGGCGAGGCACUCCGUCCCCACACACAUCAAUCGUCCCCAUCGAUUCCCCGUCAGCAGAGAGGGGCUCACCGCCUUGGCGUACAAUGCCUCACUGACCCCGACUGCCGUCGUGCAGUGACCGCACUUGUACCCACCAUAACCGGAAUGGGAGACCACGUCUCAGGUCGCAUGAGGAGGGCAAUCUGCUGUCAGGUUCACUCAGGUACUAGGCUUACCGAUUUACCAUAUUUCUCGGCAUGUGCUUAGUACGUUCAAACGCUUGACACACGGUACCACACCUUAAUCCUUAUUCCAAUUUCCGUCUCGUAGACAACGCAUCCCCAUGGACCGUUGUCCACAGACCAAUCAUUAUUCCGAUAUAAAAAUGGAUACAACCAAUUCCUGACCUCGCGCGAGUGCUAGAAAAAUCACUCGACUUCUACCGAGAUCCCUAAUUAGUAAAGCAGCUACUCGACCUAGCAUACUAGUAUCCAUCUCAAAAGGAAUCCUGAGUUCAUGCAACUAGGGUUUCAGUCAACUCCUACACUCAAGUGCACAGUACAAGCCUACAAACAUUAAGUGUAGUAAAAUAGCAUAUAUAUAAACGGUUAUGCAUAAAACCGGGGCUUGCCUUUAAUUUAACACUUAGGGAGUGUUUGCUGGGGAGGUACUCGCUUGGCGAGCAUCUACUGGUCAUGUCCACCAUUCUUCCUUGGGUCGUCCACCGACUGCACCUUGUGGUUGGCACCACAUCACUUGCACGAUCGUCUCUCGGUCCUAAAUGAGAUGCAAGAUGCAUAUGUAUGAAUAUAAUGAAAAAUAUCACAAGAUACUGCAAGCACAUGAUAGCGAACUAAGCAUUAAUUAGUAAAACACUGCAACGACUAUACGCACGCGCUAGCUAGUCGUACGUUAUCGACAUUCAUCCUUAACACCAUUAAAAAGACGACGAUAUUUUAGAUACUUACGCAACACAAUAAUACAUCACAAUUAACUAGAGAAAGAAACGUAUAAAAACAUGGCACAUAUAUUAUCUCUAGCUUAACCAUGGCAAGUCUAUAUUACUUAAGAGCAAACCAAACAUUUUUAGCGAGAAGGGUGAACUAAACAAUCAAAAGCGCACUAGCAGAAUUUUUGGACAGCAAUACAGCAGUCGCUAGUUUUAAUCAUAACUCUUCAAAUAUUAAUCCAAAAAUAGCCAAUUAAGACUUUCUGGAAAGCUUAAAAAGUGAACUACAACUUUGGUAUUUUUACCUCUACAGGAUUCAGCUGUUAGCAAGGUCAAAAAGUGCAAUUACAGCAGCACUGUCCAGAUUUGGACAGAUUCUGACUUGCAACUUCAAAAAUUCACAACUGAAGAUUCAGGCAUCCAAACAAGGUGAUCCUAGACUUUCUGGAAAGGUAAUAAAAUUGUCUACAUAUCAUUUAUAAACAUCUUAAGGUGAUUCAAUAUUUAACUAAGGAUAAAAUACACUAGAAGGCUUUGCUGUCCAGAAUUGGACAGAUUCAGUCUUCAGAGUUUAAACAUCCUUAACUUAAUCUUCAGAUCACCAAAAAUAGUGAUCCAAGACUUUUUGGAAAGCUUAGAAAAAGUCCUACAUAACUUUUAUAAUCACCAAGAAGUGAUUCCAGUUUUACUCAAAUCAAAUAUUACAGUUUUCGAAAUCUGUUCUGACAGAGGACAGAACACAGCAAUCGGUUUGUAAAUUUCAUAACUCUUAAACCAUCAGGCCUUUAGUUAUGAAAUUUUAACACAAGCAAGAUCAGAAAAUCAUCUACAACUUUCUUAUAACCUACAAGGACUGAUUCAAACAUUAACUUAAGCAAACAGUACAGUCUCUGAAAUCUAUACAGAAAUUGGACAGAUUCAGUUACUGACUUUGUAAAAAGCAUAACUCCUAAACUGUCAGUCCUAUGGCUGUCAAAUUUUAACAAAAGUAAGAUAAUAAAGUUAUCUACCACUUUUCUAUAGCACAUAUCUACAGAAAAUACAAUUUAGUUCAUCAAACAUACAGCACAACUAAAACAGUGCGUGCAGCCCAAAACAGAAAUUAAUAAAUUUCAGCUCCUAUACAAUUCAAGAAUUGUCAUGUUCUAGAGACUUAAAUCAUUCUAACACUUUGACAAUUGUUAGAGUUAAAAUAACUAAGUGAGAACUAACAUGUAGACUUACUAAUUUUUAUACAAGUUAUUUUGCGCACUAAAAGUACCAUACUCAAUUAACAAUGCAUUAUCUAUAUCAAUCAAUAUCGAAGCGCUUUUCACCAAUAGUUUGCAUUUUAAUUUAGACAUCACCUAAGCACUACUACUUUUCAUUCGCAACCAUAACCAUACACAUUUAGACCACAACAAGCAAUUCAUCGCGACUACAAACUUAACCAAAGCCAUCUAACAAGUCGGCUAGCCAGAGAAACAAUAUAGGCCGCUAUACAUCACACGCGCCGGCUAGUCUAUUAUUAUCGAAAUCUGAGACACAACAUGUAUAUGACAAUCACUUAACGAGAUCGACUCCUACUUAACAUGAGUUGGUUAAUCGCAGUAUUGGACUUAGCGAACCAUUUUAGACAUCACAACUCAAAAACAUGGGUUGGAGCAGAUUAAUCAGCUUUUCCUAAUCAUUGCUCAACUUAAAGUUGUUACUACACAGGUCAUUUAAAAUGGCACAUUUUUGGGAUCUAACAUAGAGGCAAUUACACAUGGCGUAAAACUCCAUAAGACUACAUUUGCUACUGAAGGACCUGAAGCACUUAUGUGCAUAUCUUAACGGAUUGUUCUUCAAUUUUAACAAGGGCCGACUUAUGAACGCUACUCGCCUCCAAUAAUUAUUGGGCUGCGAUAACGCUCGUAUAAGACCUCUAAUCGAUCAACAAGACAUUUAUUUAUCCAAAGGGGCAUGGAAUGUGAUAAUUGACAAAGCAAAGCAUCACAUUGCCAUACAACAAAAAUCAUGAGAACACCGAUAGAUACUAUCCACUAAUCGUUUGAAAAAUUAAACUUACUUCUCGCUUGCCACUACAUCACUCCUUAAUCACACAACCAUCAUGAGCAUCCUUCACACGAUCAUAUAAUAGCGAUCUAAGCGUCGUGUCACAAUACAUACAUCUUUCCUCACUGCGAGUAUAACCACAUCGCGGCAUAUACCCGCACACCUCAAACAAACAUCUCACGCCACCACUACUAUAUCACACCACGGCACUCACACACCUACGUGCACUAAUUAAAUCCUCGCAUCCCACAUAUUUCCAAUUUACCCAUCACAUUAAACAACACAACAUGUUUGCUUACCAAAACGUGAAGGCAACCUUGCUACGGCCUAUAACCAAAACAUUUUUAUACCCACACACAUUCCAACACCAAUGUACACCACAUCGACCAAAAUAUAAUUAUACAACUACGAAUCGCACAUAUCAACAACCGCUUGUUCUUUAAUCGCAAACGCGAUCCUACCAAUGCGCAUAAUCGAAUGCUUCACACACAUCCACACAUAUACAUGCACUGCCUGACAUAAACCAAAUCAUACAUAAUGUAAACUAUAAAUCAAUCAACCUGAACGGGAUCAGAUUUGAGUUGUGCAAGCACGUGGUGCACCCGACCGGUCUUGUAUCAAACAUGCGUGCGCGACGACUGGCAUUGACGGCUAGCUGCGAUUAGACACACACACAACCGUUCAACAGUUUUACCGAGCACAAAAGAAAAAUAAAAAAGCAGCAGUGGCAGCGAGGGUUUUCUCACCACGGGUUUCGACGACGACGCGCGGGGGCUACACAGAUCGACAGCGAGUGGCCCGACCUGGCGGGCGCAACGCAGCGGGGGGUGCAUCGCUGCUGCUACGGCUUUGGCAUUUUGUCAAACACGACGCAAGCACGACAGCGCAGGGAGUACACUGUUGUCGCUUGGCGGGUUGAGGAGUAUGGGGUGGCUCUAGGGAGGGAGCUCCUUGCUGCAGGCAUGCAUGGGAGAGGGACGCCUGCACUUGGGGAGGGCGCUGGCUGGGAGAGGGGCUCGGCCAUGGCAAGAACAGAGAAGGAGGAGGGAGAUGUGCUGCUGUUGGGCGCCGGCAAGGGGAAGCUGCAGGGGUGGCGCCCAUGGGAUCUUCUCCCACUGCGCCAGGGAGGAGAUGGGAGCAGAGAGCUUGGGCGCCAUGGCUGCUGGGCGAAGCUGGGGCUCGGUCUGCAACAGUGGGGGUCGGCAAUGGGGAAGAAGCUCUCUGCUGGAAAUUCAGGGCGCCAUGGAGCAAGAAGCAGAGGAAGCCGUGACCAAGGGGAGAGAAGGGGGCGCUGUGCACAGGGGGUAGGGGGAGGCGCCUGCUGGCUUGAGGAAGAAGGGGAGGAGGGCGCCAUGGAUCAGCGCUCGCCCACGCCAUGGACAGCAGAGGGAAACGUUGGGGGAGCUCGAUUACUGGCCGACCAUGGAGAAGACGACUCCCUGCUGUAGCCGCUCGCCAGGAGGAGGAGCAGGGAGGGGCGCCGAGGGAGGUGCUUGCUGCUCGCCAGAAGGGGGCGCCGGCCAUGGAGAGGAAAAGAGCCGUGCUCCCUGUUGCUGCUGCCGUGGGAUGCCUGCUGCGCGAUGGAGAAGAAGACAGGGAGGCUGCUGUGGCGGCUGGAAAAAAAAUGAGGGGUGGGAAUGCAAAAUAGCCCAAGUGCAAGGAGAGAGGGCUGCUAUUUAUAGAGAAACCCUAGGGCUAGGGUUGCUUAGUGGGCUGGGCCGGGCUGGGCCAAAACACGUUAUCGGGCUGCGCUAAAUUAUUUUUUUGAAUAAAAAUGCUCCCGCGGAAUUCGUUUCUACAGAGAACAGAGCGAAUUAGAGUUUCGGCGAAUGGACAAUUGAGCGAUUAAUUCGGCCGAGAGUUGGAUUUGAUUUCGCUUGGAAAUAAUUCCUCGCGCACUAUUUUAGAAAUAAAUGUUUCUCUCAGAUUUCUGAUCGACUUUGAAUUUUAGUCGGAGAAAGCGAAUUGUGACAUUUUAAAAUCGCUGUCGGAGUGAGUUUUGAAUUCGGUUUAGGUACAAAGAUACUAGGCUGAGUCGAGUAAGAAUUAAUUAGAGGGCGACAUGCUGAGUAUUCCGUUUAAGAGUACGGACUCGGAUAAAAUAGUCGGACACAGAUCAACGUUCGAGGAAUUAACUCGGGCUCAGACCAAAUAACAGCCGUCGAGAGUUUGAUUUAGAGAGCUUCAGAUGAGAUUUAUAAAUCGAGAUUGACCAUCGAGUUUGCAUUCGUUCCGAGAAUAAAAGUUUUAACACGCUCCAAAUUGGUUGUUUCUCGCGAUCGAUUAACUCCGAAUUCGGUGAACUUCCAACAGAAAGCCUGAUAGACAGAGAUAGACACGAUCGAGAAAUAGAAAUUUUCACUGAGCAUUCGCGUUAGGGACAAAUCUCCCAACAUAACACGAAACUGACACCUGGGGUGUCACAGCCUUCCCCCCUUAAAAGAAUCUCGUCCCGAGAUUCGAAUGAGGAUCUUUAAGGGUGGAGAAGCAUGUAACUCCCAGGCUGGAGAUAGAUGCAAAUUCAUGAGAGGGUAUCUGACACGAUACGAAAGAUAGAUUUGGAUAGAAUAUCGCGGCAUGUUGAGACAAAAUGCAGCGAUCAGUCUGGGAGAAUAUCCACAAAAGAUAGCACAUCAGUAUAGUCUCGUAAUGGAUCACGACUAUUAACCGCGAUACCAGCGCGUGCCGAGAAGCUCAACCUUGUGUGCGCGCCCACAAGAGGCUCUCGGUUUCGUCGCGGCACCAUCAGUCGUUUAGUCAUAACACCAUUACCAGACACAACCAACGAUAAAUCCACGUGACAUAAAUAGAUGGAGCCCAUGAGAGUAUGGCCCAGAAAAUAAGAAUGUGAUUAGAGUUGAAGCAGAGAUUGCUGGCAAAAGAGCAUCACAUAAGAACUUUCUUCAACUCAGAGAAUUAUUUUAUGAUUAAUACGGAGAUUAUCAGGUCAGAGAUUUAUACGAGAGUGGAUAUGAGGGGAACCAACCAUGAGAUCAAGAUUGGCAACUUGCUGAGACAUGAGAGAACCAAGGUCAACAACAUAAUCCAUUGAACCAAAUGGAUACACUGCUUAGAGAUAGAAUCGAUAAAAUGGCGUCAUGAUUCUUGGAGGAGCAUGAGAUCGACCAGAAUUGAGAGAUUUAGGCAAGAUCAACAUCAGAUACUUGAGAACGGGUUAUAGCAGAUGACCAGAUAAUGGGGCAGAAUCAUUAAAGGAUCCCGGGAUUCGGAUGAUAAAGCCAACAUGAUUCAUAAGAAAAAGGAUUACCAGAUCCAGGUGAAAGGAGAGGUAGUCACAUGAGAUCGAAUUAGGAUGAGCACCAGAAAGUUUAUGAAGAUUCGGGACAGGUUCUAUGGAAGGAAACAGGGCUUGGACAUGGUUUGCGCAACUAGACACCAAACGAUGUUUUUUUACACAACAAGUGCACAAGGAGACUUGGGUUGGUCUAGCCGUCUAGCGGUCAAGCUGUGGGGGUCUAUAAGUUGUGUAGGUGUAAAUUCAAGGGUAGAACACUCAAGGGCUAGAAAAUACCACACAAGCAUGAAAAUUUUUUAAGAGGUUUCACUUGCUAAAUUCAAGGUUGUUUGGGUGGGGAUCUUUUUAUGAACAGAACAAGCAACAAAAUGUUUUGCAAAAAGGGUUGAACAAUUACAAUACCACCUAGAUAGCAAGACAAGCGAAACACAUAGCAUUACCUAACAAGACUUGCCAAUCUGACACGAGAUAAGGCAUUUCUAACAUAGAAGUACAUCACAUUAUUCACAAGUUCUUAUCAUUGGAAUAAAGGUGAGAGAAGCAUGUUGAUGCACAAGAGACAAUUAUAAUGCGACAAUCAUGAUGCAUGCUCAUUCUAGUUGUCUUCUCAGACCUAACUAGUUUUUCGGAUGCUUCUACAGCAUCCUUCUUAAUAGUAGUAGUAGCCUUUAUGACCUAUAUAAAUAGCCACCUAGUUACCCAUCUAUUUCCUAAGGCUUCACGUCCUAGGUCUAUCCUUAUCAUCCUGACGAUCUAUCCAACUUGGUUUCUAAGCAAAUUUUACUUUAGAAAAGGUUGGUAAUCAUGACUUAUUGACUUCUCUGUACUGGUAUUCGCUCCGAUACCAGCUGUGGCGGAACCGCCCGAAUUAUUCCAGCUUAAGUGCCCAAGUCGCACCCUUAAGGGCAGCAACACACUUAAACAGGAAUAACCCAUUAGUCGCUCGGAUCUAGUCCGAUAAAGCCACUUAACCAGGAUCGAAUACCACUAGCUCACUCGAAGGUGAGGCACAGAGAAAUACAAUAAAGCAUAAUACCAUCAAUUUAAUAAGUAUCAGUAAUGAUUACAUUAUCGGAGUUUCAGAAAUAUUAACUAUAAAUUUUAAUGCAGCGGAAAUAACUAACGAAGAAAACCGAGCAACAUGGCGAAGCCUGGCCACGCUACUCCUCCUGGUCCUCUCCUGCGGAAGCAGUAACCCACUCAACCGUCUAUCCCGGUGGCAGGGAUGGAGGCCAAGUCACACCAUCAACCAAUUCAACCUAAGGAGUACCUGCAAAAAUUAUGCCACAAGCAAGGCUGAGUAUACUAAUACUCAGCUAGACUUACCCGGUGUGAGGAGUCUACUCCUCUACCUCUAGACAUGCAGCUGUUUGGCUGAGGGGUUUGGUUUGCCAAAAGCACUAGCUGAGUCUAAAAUCAAGUUUUAGCUUUUCAAGUUUUAGUAUGAUCCUUUUAAACUAGAUGAGUACCUAGCUAUUCAUACAUGGUAUCAAACAUUUUAUCAAUCAACAUCUUUUGCCAGUCACCUCAUUUCCACUUAUUACUCAAUGUAGCAGCAUGGAUCAAGCAGUCUCAUUAGCUGCGAGAAGCAGACGAUUCGAAUCGAGUUUUUAUCCUUGCAAGGUAAACCUAAACACACGACGUGGCGAGGCACUCCGUCCCCACACACAUCAACCGUCC